rnacentral:lncRNA from 1 species
UACAUCUCACCAAUCCAUACAUUUUCAUCUCUUAGCCGUGCAAAUCCAUUCCAUCCAUAUAUCCAUUUAGCCACUCCCCUUUCUUGUGCCGCAACAAGGUGGUGAAAAAAGAAGGUCCUUGGCGUUUCAAGGUUGAAGAUUGGAGCGUUUUAGGUGUACUUCGUUCUUGCUUUCAAUGUCUACUUUGUUAUUUUCUGAUUUUGUUGCAACUAUGAGUGGCUAAACCCCUAUUUAGUUAGGGGGAAGUUUGAAGCCAUGAAC